AGGACGAACGCUGGCGGCGUGCCUAAUACAUGCAAGUCGAACGGUCUUUCUAUGGAAGCUUGCUUCCACUGAGAAGAUAGUGGCGAACGGGUGAGUAACACGUGGGUAACCUGCCCAUAAGAGGGGGGAUAACAUCCGGAAACGGGUGCUAAUACCGCAUAGUUUCUUGAUCGCAUGAUUGAGAAAGGAAAGACGGCCUUUGUGCUGUCGCUUAUGGAUGGACCCGCGGCGUAUUAGUUAGUUGGUGAGGUAACGGCUCACCAAGACGAUGAUACGUAGCCGACCUGAGAGGGUGAUCGGCCACAUUGGGACUGAGACACGGCCCAAACUCCUACGGGAGGCAGCAGUAGGGAAUCUUCCGCAAUGGACGAAAGUCUGACGGAGCAACGCCGCGUGAGUGAAAGAAGGUUUUCGGAUCGUAAAACUCUGUUGUCAGAGAAGAACAAGUUGGAGAGUAACUGCUCCAGCCUUGACGGUAUCUGACCAGAAAGCCACGGCUAACUACGUGCCAGCCGCGGC
rnacentral:rRNA from 1 species